UGUGCUUAGAGUGAGCUCGCAUUCCCGGGUCCGCGUGCCUCGAGGCGGGGGACUGACCUCCGGAGAAAACGUGAAAGGCUUCAGUUGUGGAAUUGGUUGGGGACUUCGUCUUUGGGUGCAUCUUAGAUGCUCGGAAAAGUCGAAGUCCCCGAAACAUCGUGUUAAAGGGACGUUAGGAUGACCGGGGAACCGACGUGGCCUGGUGUCUACAAGAGUCCUGCCAAACGCAGCGGAGGAGCGGGGAUGAGUUGUUGGCAGCCAUUUGAUUGCAAAAGAGCCAUCCUCUUGAAAAGUACUGUUGAAGAUAAUGUUUUGCCCUUCCUGAUAUAAGAAUUCAUACUUUGAAAAAAAACCUUUGGACAAAUUAAUAUAUCGGAUAGAAGUGAUUUUUAAAUGAUACUGAAUUAAAUAAGACAAAUCCGAAAAAUUAUCCUUCAAGCCUGGUACAAAGUGACUAAAGAAACUUUGCUGCUACAAUUAAGUACUUUCUGCCACCUUUGGGAGUAAUUUGGUUUAACUUGCCUUCAAGCAUCCUAAAACUCCAUACAAUGUAAAGUUAUGAAGAGAAUCUCAAAUGUGGACUUCAUAAGAACCGAGUUUGGUGUGAUUGGUCUAGAGAUGUCAGUGCUGCUGCUGCGGCUGCUGCUGAAAUGUUGACAAGUUAUUACUGAACUGCAAAUUUCUUAUCUCUAGCAUCUUUUGUACCUGUCCUGUAGAUGUGUGCAAUUAAUAUGAGAUGAUUUAUGUAGAAUUGCUUUAAAACAAUAAAAACACUACAUACAUUUCUAUAUUUAUAGUUAGAAUGAUUGAACCUUUAGCGCACUUUGCAGGUAAACUGAUUAAGCUGAGAUAAUUGGGGUGUAGUGACAGAUUAGGUGACUAGUACUCGGAUUGGAUUAAGGGGGUACUGUUUCUAUGUAUGGAAAACGUCUUUGGAGUUCUUAAACUACUCUCGGCCCCCAAAUCCUUGGAAUUGUAUAGGCAUCAUUUGCAUAGUGGAAGUAAAUAAGGUUACUAGUAUACAUACAAGUUGAGUUUUGAAAAACAUUUGCUUUUUAUCUAAAUAUUUUACAUUUGUUUAAAACUAAGGAUAUUCUCUUCAGUUAUGUUUUCUAGACUUAUCAAGAAAGAUAGUAUUUUAAAGUACUUUAUUAGGGUUUGGAAAAAGAUCAGUAAGUUCAUGUUAAUGUACAGUACCCACCUAUCCAUAAACUAUGGAAUGCUUUUGGCAGUUGGCUAAUAGAUUAUAAACUUACAUCCAAAAUUCUUCCUCAAUAAGUUUAAAUAAUGGCAAAUAACUUAAUUUCCAGUGCAUUGUAAAAUGCCACUUUAUAUCUAUCACUUUUAAAUGUAGCAACUGAAUUAAAUAUUAUAGUAUUUUGAUACUAUACAUCUAUUUUUUAAAAAAUGAACUGGCUCUUUGAUAGUCAAAGUUUCACAUUGUAUUGCUAUUCUAUCCCCUGUAGCCAUGGUUCUCAGUUAGGGUCUGUUGCCUCCUGGUUGACAUUUGGUGAUAUCUGGAGACAUUUUGAUCAUGGCAAGGACCUGAGGGCAUCUAGUGGGAAGAGUCCAGGAAUGUUGCAGAAACUGUCUACAUUGCACAAGGCAAUUUCCAACAACAAAGAAUUAAUCAGCCCAAAAUGUCAACAGUGUAUGUUACUGAGAAACUUAAAUGCUACCUGUUGCUACCAGAACCAAUAAGUAGCGGCAAGGAUUGAAUUUUUAUGGCUGCUCUAUUCAGAUGGCUGGUGAUCUGAGAAGACGCUGGGUUAUGUACCCUAAAAAACUGUCUUACGUUAAUCUAAAGUCAACCUUUAUAUAAGGAUAAGGAUAGUGUAGGUAAGGGGUUUGGAAUUCAGGAAAAAGUAGGUAAGGGUUUUGGAAUUCAGGGGAAAAGGUUAGUCAGAUAAAAGUUGCAGUCCAGCAAUUUUCCUAGCAUCCCAGUGAUUCUUUUAUCUAUUUACAAUCUGGAUGUUUUCUCCCUGGAGUACAUUGGCUUAAAUACCAUCUUGAUCGCACUUGAAGCGCUUGGGCAGAAAGGAAAGGUUAGGUUGCUUGUGGUCCUCCUGGAGUCACGAUAGAUCUUGUCAUAAAUUCUAGUUCCUGGAAUAACAGCUUUCUAUAUGCAUUAAUCACCAAGCCUAUUAACUAUAUAACUAAAGCUAAAGUUUUUAACUCUUGAUUUCCCCCAACAAAACCCCGACCUACAGAAUUCUACUCUUACGUGGUAUGGUUUUAGGUAUGAACGUCUUAAUGGUUAUCAUUCUUUACUGCAGCAAAAAAGAAAAAAAUGUGUGUAUAUUUUAAUGUGCAUAUCUUGGGAUGAUAAUAUUCUAAAAGUUAAGUCAAUUCAGCUGAUUGAAAUAUAAAUAUAAUUUUUAAUUAUAAAAAGUAAUAUUUUAUUGAAAUAUAUUUCUUAAUGAGAUUGGGCUUUAUAUUAUUUAGCUUAAGUUUGCAUGGAUGAAUAUUUUGUAUUGCUAGAAUUUGACAGAAUUCAACAUCAAUUUUUUUUUCUGUUUCAUUUUUACAGAUAUAAAGGCCAAAAUAUUUUGUUCAUUUAAAUUGAGACUAAGGAGUGUUAGUAUAGCAGUGUGGUUUAAUUGUGUUUAUUACUUCUGAAUUAUAUGUUAAAAGUCAUUUACUGAUCACGAUCUAUCAGAAUAUUCCUAAUGACAUGAAGUUCUCUAGUUUAAUUUGGCUCAGAAGCACAACAUUAGAAUCCCAACUUUGAAAAUAAUUCCUUACCUAGUUACUAAUUUUCUUAUUAAAUGUUUAGUACACUUGCUGUUAUGUUCUAGAAUAAUGUACUAUAUUAAUAUUCAGGUAAAGGCCAAAAGGGUAAAUUGGUGUCUGAUUUAAGUGGCUGUUUCUUAGUUGUUGAAUGGGUGGAUGAAUUAAUAAUGGAAAGAAUGACACUCAGAAUUAAAUGUUAUUAUAAUAAUCCAAGCUAGAAGUGAGAGGUGAUAGCUAGGAAGCUGAUGAGAAACGGUGCAUUCUGGGUAUAUUCUGAAGACAUAAUAGUUUAGUCAAAGUUUAGAUAUGAAAGAAGGGGAAGCAUCAGCUGUCACUAGUGGUUUUUUGUCCUAAACUACUGGAAGAGUGACUAUUUACUGAGAUGGGGAGACCAAAAGGAAAAGCAUGAAGAAGAUACGUGCCUAGUUCCCCCUGUCCAUUUUCUACAUUUGUGUUUCACAGCUUAAUUAAGCUGUUUGAAAGACCUACACAAUCAUUUUCCCACAAAAUGAUGGAGUUUUCUCCUUGUAACUCCAGUGGCAAAAAUUCAAACACUUGCCGAUGUUAAUUGUAAGUCUGCUAAAUAGUGUUAGUCAUCUGAUUUAUGUACAUUGGAUAUACCUGAAGGACAGGUUUUAUUGUUAAAAACUGUUCAGUGUUUUAAUAGGCUUUUAAGUACAUUUCAUUGUAUUUUAAAUCAAUAACUCUAUACACAAGUUUGUUUUUUUAAACACAGAUGUAAUAUCAAACAGUUGACUGCACUGGAUAUGAAAAUAGAUUCCUCAAAUUCAUAUACACCAAAACCAUGAUUUUGCUUGGGAUAAUAGUUUUCUGAUUUGGUCAGAAUAAUGCAAAUUAACUCAAAUACAACCGCAACAUUAUAAUCCAUGAUUUAUAUUAAUUCAGGUUAACAUGCAGUGUUACAUAGAGUUUUCCACCUUGGCUAGGUUAAUCCAAAGAGACCCAUUUUUCUCUUGUAAAUUUUUAAAACUUCUGUUUUUUUUUCCAGUUUGUUUCAGCAGACAAAAUAAUAUAUGCAAAGACAAAAAAAUUAACACCAUUUCAGUCAGUUAAGAUCUUUUGAAAAGUUAACCCAAAAUAUGUACACCUGUGUAUGUUAACAUUAUUAACUAUUUUAUAGGUCAGCAUACAUACUGAUAGUACCUCUUAUUCAAUUCCACCCACAUAUAAGAUUCUGAGGGUAUGGGUUCUUAGAGUCCAGUGGCAGAGAUAGAUAUAUACAUACCAACUUUAGUAAAUGUUUGUGAUAAAUAUUGAGAUAUAAGGAAAUAUUAAAGGAGCAUAAACAAGGAAGAAAUUCCUGUUUACUGACAUCAUCUUUGUGUUAAUAGUACUCAUAGGAGAAUAGUAUGUGUGGACUAGAAUAAUUGUUUCUUUCUUUUUUAACAGCCUGUUUGCUUCUUAAGCCUCACAUUUCUAUGUCUCCUAUCUCUACAAAUCUAAUGUUUUGUGCAAAUGAUGUUUCUGCCACCUCUGCUGGAUAAUGGCGGCUAUAGCAUACUGCUUGUCUCUUGAUGAACUUCAGCUGCCCCUUUCUGAGGAGAAAAAGCUUCCUUCUGGCUCUGGAGGAUGGAAAUCCAAGAUCACAGCACCGGCACGGUUGCACGAGGGCCUCCAUUCAAGGGUGUCACAGACUUUUGUGUGCACUGUAGGCAGAGGAACUAGGGAGCUCGCUGGAGCCCCCUUCAUAAGG